ACCUAUUUAUUUUUCAGAUUGUGAAGGAGACUUGGGUACGAGCUGGAUGGUGUGUUGGGGAUUUCACUCUCUACACUGGCUCCCUUGGGACAGCAUUCUUACUUUUCAAAGCAUAUGAAGUCACCAAGAACAAGAAUGAUCUCAAUCUCUGCAUUGAAAUUGUGAGGGCUUGUGAUACUGCUUCACGAGAAUCAAGGCAUGUGACAUUCAUCUGUGGUCGGGCUGGUGUGUGCGCCCUUGGUGUCGUGGCUGCAAAGAACGCUGGGGAUCAUGCACUGCUCAACCACUACCUAUCCCAGUUCAAAGCGGUAAUGCUUUGAAAAGUUGUUGGCUAGAAAGUUAGUAAUGGUUGUCUUCUCGAGCCGAAAAAGAUAUUUAUGCAAUGUACUACCUCAUUUGGCGAUCACUUCUCUUGGGGGUUUCUGGACUGUGUAUGAAUUGCCACUUCAUAGGGUAUGGUCGUGAAGGAAAUCAUCAAGGAUGGAAUACGAUUAGCCAACAAGGGUAGUUGCCCAUUGAUUUUAUCCUAUAUGGAGGCUUUCUGAAACAUAUGUUGAGUUGCUGGAAAUCCAAAACUCAAUGAUGGUGGAAGAGCAUGAUGUCUCAUGUGAAGCUCCAAUCCAAAAUGAGUAAGUUGCAGGACAGUCCACAGAGUGAGUGAGGUUAUGAGAAGCUAUCACCAGACUAUCAUACUAUCAUAUCCAUCUGAUUUAUGGGCUGCAUAUAGGUGGUUAUACCAAUGACCCUAUAAAAAUAGAGAUCUGAAAAUACCCAAGAAUUCUUUUAUUAGAGACGGUACUGUUAUUACUCCUUGGUUGUUGUGACUUGUGAUUAAUGACCUUUUUAUAUAUAAUACAUUGUCAAUGAUGAUGAGGAACUAGCGAGGGCCUCACAAGCAUUGUUGUGUGAAAGUAACACAGUUUUGAAAUAGUGAUCGCUCAGUGGUCAUCAAGGACUGAAUGAAGCUCCACAGAUGAUAGAUAUGGACAACCUACAAUAAUUGGAUCAUUUGGUAAAACUGGAGUACCCAACUCCGAU